rnacentral:rRNA from 1 species
AUUCUAGAGCUAAUACAUGCUAAAAACCCCAACUCCGGAAGGGGUGUAUUUAUUAGAUAAAAAACCAAUGCCCUUCGGGGCUCUUUGGUGAUUCAUGAUAACUUCUCAGAUCGCAUGGCCUUGCGCCGGCGACGGUUCAUUCAAAUUUCUGCCCUAUCAACUUUCGAUGGUAAGGUAUUGGCUUACCAUGGUUUCAACGGGUAACGGGGAAUUAGGGUUCGAUUCCGGAGAGGGAGCCUGAGAAACGGCUACCACAUCCAAGGAAGGCAGCAGGCGCGCAAAUUACCCAAUCCCGACACGGGGAGGUAGUGACAAUAAAUACUGAUACAGGGCUCUUUUGGGUCUUGUAAUUGGAAUGAGUACAAUUUAAACCUCUUAACGAGGAACAAUUGGAGGGCAAGUCUGGUGCCAGCAGCCGCGGUAAUUCCAGCUCCAAUAGCGUAUAUUAAAGUUGUUGCAGUUAAAAAGCUCGUAGUUGAACCUUGGGCCUGGCUGGCAGGUCCGCCUCACCGCGUGUACUUGACCGGCCGGGCCUUCUCUUCUGGAGAACCUCAUGCCCUUUACUGGGCGUGUUGGGGACCAGGACUUUUACUUUGAAAAAAUUAGAGUGUUCAAAGCAGGCCUUUGCUCGAAUAUGUUAGCAUGGAAUAAUAGAAUAGGACGUGCGGUCCUAUUUUGUUGGUUUCUAGGACCGCCGUAAUGAUUAAUAGGGACAGUCGGGGGCAUCAGUAUUCAAUUGUCAGAGGUGAAAUUCUUGGAUUUAUUGAAGACUAACUACUGCGAAAGCAUUUGCCAAGGAUGUUUUCAUUAAUCAGUGAACGAAAGUUAGGGGAUCGAAGACGAUCAGAUACCGUCGUAGUCUUAACCAUAAACUAUGCCGACUAGGGAUCGGGCGAUGUUUCAAUAUUGACUCGCUCGGCACCU